AAGGAAUAUUGCACAAUGGGCGAAAGCCUGAUGCAGCAACGCCGCGUGCGCGAUGAAGGCCUUCGGGUCGUAAAGCGCUUUUCUGGGGGAAGAGUAAGGACGGUACCUCAGGAAUAAGUCUCGGCUAACUACGUGCCAGCAGCCACGGUAACACGUAGGAGACAAGCGUUAUCCGGAUUUAUUGGGCGUAAAGGGCAUGUAGGCGGGCUCUUAAGUCGGAUGUGAAAUCUCUUGGCUUAACCGGGAGGGGUCAUUCGAUACUGGGAGUCUUGAGGGCAGGAGAGGGAAGUAGAAUUCCCGGUGUAGUGGUGGAAUACGUAGAUAUCGGGAGGAAUACCAGUGGCGAAAGCGGCUUCCUGGCCUGUGCCUGACGCUGAUAUGCGAAAGCGUGGGUAGCAAACGG
rnacentral:rRNA from 1 species